rnacentral:rRNA from 1 species
CCUACGGGGGGCAGCAGUGGGGGAUAUUGGACAAUGGGGGAAACCCUGAUCCAGCGACGCCGCGUGAGUGAAGAAGUAUUUCGGUAUGUAAAGCUCUAUCAGCAGGGAAGAAAGAAAUGACGGUACCUGAGUAAGAAGCCCCGGCUAACUACGUGCCAGCAGCCGCGGUAAUACGUAGGGGGCAAGCGUUAUCCGGAAUUACUGGGUGUAAAGGGAGCGUAGACGGCAGCGCAAGUCUGGAGUGAAAUGCCGGGGCCCAACCCCGGAACUGCUCUGGAAACUGUGAAGCUGGAGUGCAGGAGAGGUAAGCGGAAUUCCUGGUGUAGCGGUGAAAUGCGUAGAUAUCAGGAGGAACACCGGCGGCGAAGGCGGCUUACUGGACUGUAACUGACGUUGAGGCUCGAAGGCGUGGGGAGCAAACAGGAUUAGAUACCCCUGUAGUC